GACGAACGCUGGCGGCGUGCUUAACACAUGCAAGUCGAACGGAAAGGCCCUGCUUUUGUGGUGUGCUCGAGUGUCGAACGUGUGAUUAACACUUGAGUAACCUGCCCUUGACUUUGGUAUAACUUCAGGAAACUGGGGCUAAUACCGGAUAGGAGCUCCUGCUGCAUGGUGGUGGUUGUAAAGUUUCGGCGGUUGGGGAUGGACUCGCGGCUUAUCAGCUUGUUGGUGGGGUAGUGGCUUACCAAGGCUUUGACGGGUAGCCGGCCUGAGAGGGUGACCGACCACAUUGGGACUGAGAUACGGCACAGACUCCUACGGGAGGCAGCAGUGGGGAAUAUUGAACAAUGGGCGGAAGCCUGAUGCAGCAACGCCGCGUGCGGGAUGAAGGCCUUCGGGUUGUAAACCGCUUUCGCCUGUGACGAAGCGUGAGUGACGGUAAUGGGUAAAGAAGCACCGGCUAACUACGUG
rnacentral:rRNA from 1 species